AAAACUUUGGAUAAUGGACCCACCCUCCACCCUUUUCCACUUAGAUAUCAGGCUUUUAUCUAUGGCAGGGCUUGAACGCAGAAGAUAACCAAAACUUCAACCAAGCACUAGCUUAAUUUCAAAAGUCAAACUCGAUCCAGAAAGUGACAAAAAGAAGCUAUACAGAAGAGAAUAAUCACAUUACUGCACUUCAAUAACCCCGCUGCAC